UACAGAGGGUGCGAGCGUUAAUCGGAAUUACUGGGCGUAAAGCGUGCGUAGACGGUUAUUUAAGUCGGGUGUGAAAGCCCCGGGCUCAACCUGGGAAUUGCAUUCGAGACUGAAUAGCUAGGGUACGGUAGAGGGAAGCGGAAUUCCGGGUGUAGCGGUGAAAUGCGUAGAUAUCCGGAGGAACACCAGUGGCGAAGGCGGCUUGCCAGAACGCGCUCGACGGUGAGGGAUGAAAGCUGGGGGAGCAAACCGG
rnacentral:rRNA from 1 species